CAAAAACAUCGCCUCUUGCCAAAAACACAAGUAUAAGAGGCCCAGCCUGCCCAGUGACACAUGUUCAACGGCCGCGGUAUUCUGACCGUGCAAAGGUAGCGUAAUCACUUGUCCUUUAAAUAAAGACUGGUAUGAAAGGCACCACGAAGGUUCAACUGUCUCCCCCAUCCAGUCAGUGAAACUGAUCUCCCCGUGCAAAAGCAGGGAUAAACACACAAGACGAGAAGACCCUAUGGAGCUUAAAACACCAGGCAACUGCUUUUAAACCACAACCAAAAGGUGAAAUCAUUAACCAAGCAAACAUGACCAAAUGUUUUCGGUUGGGGCGACCACGGAGAAUAAAAAAUCCUCCGAGAAGAAAAGGACUACGUCCUAAGUCACGAACAACAACUCCAAACAUCAGAACCUCUGACCACCUUUGACCCAGUCUAACUGAUCAACGAACCAAG
rnacentral:rRNA from 1 species